CAGUCGCCACUGUAAUACGAAGGGUGCAAGCGUUAAUCGGAAUUACUGGGCGUAAAGCGUGCGUAGGCGGUGAGUUAAGUCUGCUGUGAAAUCCCCGGGCUCAACCUGGGAAUGGCAAUGGAUACUGGCAAGCUAGAGUGUGUCAGAGGAUGGUGGAAUUCCCGGCGUAGCGGUGAAAUGCGUAGAGAUCGGGAGGAACAUCAGUGGCGAAGGCGGCCAUCUGGGACAACACUGACGCUGAGGCACGAGAGCGUGGGGAGCAAACAGGAUUAGAUACCCCCGUAGUCCCUGUCUCUUAUAC
rnacentral:rRNA from 1 species